rnacentral:rRNA from 1 species
GAGUUUGAUUCUGGCUCAGAACGAACGCUGGCGGCAGGCCUAACACAUGCAAGUCGAGCGCACCUUCGGGUGAGCGGCGGACGGGUUAGUAACGCGUGGGAACGUGCCCAGAUCUGCGGAAUAGCCACUGGAAACGGUGAGUAAUACCGCAUACGCCCUUCGGGGGAAAGAUUUAUCGGAUUUGGAUCGGCCCGCGUUAGAUUAGGUAGUUGGUGAGGUAACGGCUCACCAAGCCUACGAUCUAUAGCUGGUUUUAGAGGAUGAUCAGCAACACUGGGACUGAGACACGGCCCAGACUCCUACGGGAGGCAGCAGUGGGGAAUCUUGGACAAUGGGCGCAAGCCUGAUCCAGCCAUGCCGCGUGAGUGAUGAAGGCCUUAGGGUCGUAAAGCUCUUUCGCCAGGGAUGAUAAUGACAGUACCUGGUAAAGAAACCCCGGCUAACUCCGUGCCAGCAGCCGCGGUAAUACGGAGGGGGUUAGCGUUGUUCGGAAUUACUGGGCGUAAAGCGCGCGUAGGCGGACCAGAAAGUUAGGGGUGAAAUCCCGGGGCUCAACCCCGGAACUGCCUCUAAAACUCCUGGUCUAGAGUUCGAGAGAGGUGAGUGGAAUUCCGAGUGUAGAGGUGAAAUUCGUAGAUAUUCGGAGGAACACCAGUGGCGAAGGCGGCUCACUGGCUCGAUACUGACGCUNAGGUGCGAAAAGUGUGGGGGAGCAAACAGGAUUAGAUACCCUGGUAGUCCACACCCGUAANACGAUGGAAUGCC